rnacentral:rRNA from 1 species
CCCUUAGAUGUUCUGGGCCGCACGCGCGCUACACUGAUGCAUUCAACGAGCCUAGCCUUGACCGAGAGGUCCGGGUAAUCUUUGAAACUGCGUCGUGAUGGGGCUAGAUUAUUGCAAUUAUUAAUCUUCAACGAGGAAUGCCUAGUAAGCGUGAUUCAUCAAAUCGCGUUGAUUACGUCCCUGCCCUUUGUACACACCGCCCGUCGCUCCUACCGAUUGAGUGUGUUGGUGAGGAGUUCGGAUUGGCUCUUAGUGGUGGUUCGCCACCACCUAGAGCUGAGAAGUUCUCCAAACCGCCCCACUUAGAGGAAGGAGAAGUCGUAACA